rnacentral:rRNA from 1 species
UACGAAGGGGGGCUAGCGUUGCUCGGAAUGACUGGGCGUAAAGGGCGCGUAGGCGGACAGUUAAGUUGGGGGUGAAAGCCCCGGGGCUCAACCUCGGAAUUGCCUUCAAUACUGGCUGUCUUGAGUGUGAGAGAGGUGUGUGGAACUCCGAGUGUAGAGGUGAAAUUCGUAGAUAUUCGGAAGAACACCAGUGGCGAAGGCGACACACUGGCUCACUACUGACGCUGAGGCGCGAAAGCGUGGGGGAGCAAACAGG